CUCACCGUGCCCUAAUCUCACGCCGACCACUCCAUUUCCCUUCCUCCCUCUUGCUCCUUGUCGCCGAGAUCUCACCGCCGCCCCUCACUCUCCUUAUUCUCAUUCGCCACCUCCUCUCCUUUGAUCACCGGAGCUGGAUCUGCCGCCAAGCUCCCGGAGUUGCCCUACCUUGCACGGGCUGCCUUCGGCCAAGAGCAGGAGGUGCCGUCCUCUCAUGUGCGGCACAGUCUUCGUGACCUAGCAUCGUCGAAGCCGCCAACCAUCAGCAACCCGUGGCCGGCAUAGACGCACACCGAGCGUCGAAUCUACCUCUUCCCCGACGCCUCUCACUUCUUCGAUGCCACAAUCCCGAGUUCGCCGGCACUGAUCUUCUCACCGUUGGCUGGACUUGCCAUCUCCACGGAUCGUCGGACGUUUGCUAUGGUUGUCCUUCUCUCUGAGUUGCAGCCCAUGCCUGGCCAUCCGCACCGCCAGAUCGCCGAUUCUCUGUCGCCUCGAAGGGCACCUGAUGCCGCCAUCGUUAUCCCUCUCCGGCCACGAGCAGGAGGCAGUGGGGUUGUGCCCGUGAGCCGAUUUCCCCUCUCCCACACCACUUGAUGCCAUCACCGACGUUGUGCCCUGGUUGUGCUUGCCACAGUGCUGAUCAUCGAUCAUCGAUCAUCGAUGUCAACAUUCCAGGCGGACUGGUCAUCAUCAGUGAGGCUCUUCCACCACCGUGGGUCGUCGUCUGCUCUAAUGUGAGCUUGACCUUGCCUUGUUGCCCCAAUUGGUUCUCUGGUGGACAUGGAGCAGCUCCAUCAGAUCAUUGGUGAGGUUGCUGGAGAUGUUUCUGUGUGUAAUAUGAUCAGGGAUUGUAUUGGUUGAGAUUGAUCUUGGGUCAGAUUUGAAAUUGUUGGAGGAAGCUAAGGUAUGUUAUCUUUAGGUAAUGAAAUGGGUUGAUCCUGUGUUAGAAAUUAGAAUUUAGGAAUUUAUUCAUGAGUUAUAUUAGUUGUCAGAUUGCUAGUUAGAAAUUGAUCUCGUGGAUAAACUAUGUAUGUUGGAUUCAUAAUGGUUAUUUGGUGAAUGAUUUAUAUAGGUGGAUGCAUGAUUAUUAUUAGCAUAUUAUAGAAUUGGUUGUUUAUUGAUGAUUGAUGCCAGGAUUGGAUUGUAAAUGAAUUAAUGGAUUCAUGUUAAGUUGAGAAACUCAAGGAUUAAAUGAUUGGAUUAAUUGGUGAUUUAUGUGUAAACCUAACUUAAUAAGGUUGUAGUAUAAUUAAGGUUGAUUGGGGGAUUACUCAAGGAUCUUGUUUGAUUAGCGUUACCCUAAUUAGAAUAGGGAUUCUGUUUGGUUAUUUACUUCCUAUGUAAUUAGCUAAAUAGA